rnacentral:rRNA from 1 species
CGGAAACAGUUAUCUGAACCUUCGGGGAACGAUAACGGCGUCGAGCGGCGGACGGGUGAGUAAUGCCUAGGAAAUUGCCCUGAUGUGGGGGAUAACCAUUGGAAACGAUGGCUAAUACCGCAUAAUGCCUACGGGCCAAGAGGGGGACCUUCGGGCCUCUCGCGUCAGAUAUGCCUAGGUGGGAUUAGCUAUUGGUGAGGUAAUGGCUCACCAAGGCGACGAUCCCUACCGGUCGACAGGAUGAUCGUCUGCUGGAACUGAGAACGUCCAGAUCCUACGGACGCAGUGGGGAAUAUUGCACAAUGGGCGCAGCCUGAUGCAGCAUGCCGGUGUGUGAAGAAGGCUUGGGGUUGUAAGCACUUUCAGUCGUGAGGAAGGUGGCGUAGUUGAUAGCUGCAUUACC